AAUUAAUCCCUUAUGACAUUAAUGAUGCAAUUAGAACAUACACUAGCUUUUCCUGUGAAGGGGACGGAAACCGGUAGCGAUGGUUGCUAUCUUCACUAGUGUCAGUCUGGACUCUCUGAUGCUGCUGUGAUGGGCACAACAAAAGAGUCACGACUCGUAAAGCACCGCUCGUGCAGGAGUGUCUUUCACUGUGUACAGUUGUCUUCGAAUGUUGACCUUGGUACGGAGCUCCCUAGCGACCGAGUAGUGAAGGAAUACAUGUAUACGAGAUCAAACCUGCACUCGGGCCUUACCUGGCAGCAGCGGUCUGAUGUCUGACUUUCUGAAGAGUCUUUGCUCCAACCACACUUGUCAAACACUGCUGCUGAAAUUAACGAGGAAAAGGGUUGCAGGUGGGUUGGAACAUAUCCCAGUGCCUCAGACCACAGGAAAGGGGCUCCCUUAAUGGAUGGCCAAUAUUAAGCAAGACUAAAGGGGUGGAAAAAUUUGAGGGGCAGUGACAACAAAAUGGAUGACAAAAUGACAAAUUGCACUUAUGAUCAAUCUCAGAACCGGAAGUGGAGCAUGGUCUGGUGGAUAGGCUAAUGGAGUGGAGACCUGAAGCUUCACCACUGGCUGCUUGGCAUCCACAGUUGUGCCCUUGAGCGAGGCACUUAACCCAAAUUGCUUCAGUAAACACUCCGUCUUAGAAAUGACAGUGUAUGCAAACUGGCCCAUCAGCUUUCUUCACACAG